rnacentral:rRNA from 1 species
UGAGGAAUAUUGGUCAAUGGGCGAGAGCCUGAACCAGCCAAGUAGCGUGCAGGAAGACGGCCCUAUGGGUUGUAAACUGCUUUUAUGUGGGGAUAAAGUGCGUGACGUGUCAUGCAUUGCAGGUACCACAUGAAUAAGGACCGGCUAAUUCCGUGCCAGCAGCCGCGGUAAUACGGAAGGUCCGGGCGUUAUCCGGAUUUAUUGGGUUUAAAGGGAGCGUAGGCUGUCUAUUAAGCGUGUUGUGAAAUGUAGAUGCUCAACAUCUGAACUGCAGCGGGAACUGGCUGGAUUGAGUACACGCAACGUGGGCGGAAUUCAUGGUGUAGCGGUGAAAUGCUUAGAUAUCAUGAGGAACUCCUAUUGCGAAGGCAGCUCACGGGAGUGUCACUGACGCUUAAGCUCGAAAGUGCGGGUAUCAAACAGG